rnacentral:misc_RNA from 1 species
GAAAUGCGAUACGUAAUGUGAAUUGCAGAUUUCAGUGAAUCAUCGAAUCUUUGAACGCACAUUGCGCCCGCCAGUAUUCUGGCGGGCAUGCCUGUUCGAGCGUCAUUUCAACCAUCAAGCCCCCGGCUUGUGUUGGAGCCCUGCGGCUGCCGCAGGCUCCCAAAUCCAGUGGCGGGCUCGUCGUCGUACCGAGUGCAGUAAACAUCCUCGCUCAGGGCACGUGACGGGUUCCGGCCGUGAAACCACCUUCAUAACCCAAGGUUGAUUGGGGUCGCCGGCGGGCGCCGGCCGGGCCUACAGAGCGGGUGACGAAGCCCCAUACGCUCGAGGACCGGACGCGGUGCCGCCGCUGCCUUUCGGG